GAUAGAGGUGCAGAAACUGCGUGUAACAUAAAUGAGCUUGCCUGAAAGCGUUGAAUUUUUGUGAAUAGCAUUUUUGCCGAGAAGCAGUGCAUGGCAGACAUUGUUUCGGCUGUAUAUCACAGUGAUAUGCGGCUGUCAUCAUAAGAGCAUGAUGGAGAGCUAUCGAAU
rnacentral:ncRNA from 1 species